UACGGAGGGUGCGAGCGUUGUCCGGAAUCAUUGGGCGUAAAGGGUGCGUAGGCGGAAUGAUAAGUCAGUGGUGAAAUCCUUCAGCUUAACUGGAGAACUGCCAUUGAUACUGUCAAUCUUGAGUACAGUUGAUGUGGGCGGAAUGUGUCAUGUAGCGGUGAAAUGCUUAGAUAUGACACAGAACACCGAUUGCGAAGGCAGCUCACAAAACUGUAACUGACGCUGAGGCACGAAAGCGUGGGUAUCAAACAGG
rnacentral:rRNA from 1 species